UUGCUCUUGGUUUUAAUCCUUUUGGAAUGUCUUGAGGGUCAGGAGCGUUGCCAUUGAUGGCUAUGGGAGUUGUCAGGCUGUGGCUCUCUUUCUCACAGAGAAUGCCAGAGGCACUCGGGAAGGCAUUUGCCAGGGCUCUGACAGAUGUAAAGUAAGCCUUAUCCAUGUUGUGUUCUCACCUGGACACCUGGAAGGUGCUCAGUAUAGAAAAGUCACGAGCUAGAUGAGAUACCAGCUUGAUGUCGACUCCCUCCCCAACAAUGGCUGCCUGUCUUCGUCUUGAUGCCUGCCAGCAGGAAAGCACUGUCUUAGAACCUGGCUCACCUGAUUUUGCCGAUGAGUCAACUUUGAAGUGUGCCUCAUUCUGGAAAGUGAAUCACGUAAUCACAAUGGAGUCUCCCUCUUGUUGCCCAGGCUGGAGUGCAAUGGUGUGAUCUUGGCUCACUGCAACCUCCACCUCCCAGUAGAUACGGGGUUUCAUCAUGUUGGCCAGGCUGAUUUCGAACUCCUGACCUCAAGAGAGCUGCCCGCCUCGACUUCCCAAAGUGCUAGGAUUACAGGCAUGAGCCAUCACACCCAGCCUCAUAUAUUGUAUUCUGUAUAUAAUUAAGACCUUUCCUUUUCAAGGCAAUAUAUAUAACAAUAAAAAGAUGAAUUAAGUAAGCCCUCUGAAUUAAUAUAUUAAGUGGUCCCUCAGAAGGGAGAAAUUUUGAAAUUAAAUAUUAUCUAAAGAUUUUGAUAUUCACUUAAUGGGAGUAUCUGAAUUAAGUGUCACAACUAAAAUAGUAGAGUGGUCACAUUCCCUAGCACCAGUUCUCAAACUUUGUUAAAAAUGCAGAUUCCUGAGCUCUAUCAUUAAACAUUUUUAUUUAGAAGUGGGGAGUGUGGCCUUCGUAUUUCAGCUGCUUAACUAGUAGCACAGCGAAGACGGUAUAAGGGUCUUUGGAUCACUUUUUGAAAAGCAUGGUCUUAGAGAGAAGGAACAGCCCACACUCGUUCACAGUGUAGCAACACGCGGGAAAGAGAACAGUCAAAUUGUUUUGAUGAUGACGAAAGGAAAUGCAGGCUUUCUAGUAUAUACAAAACAUAUUCAAAAAUCUAGAAGUUUAUCACUAAGGUUUUUGGAAGUAAAUCUACAUUUAGCAACUCAAUUUUUUAGAUUUUAUUCUCAAUUAUCUGGACAUGAGAUUUAGGUCUGUGAUUCUCAGGUCUUCUUAGUUAUACAUAUCACUCAAGGAGCUAUGGACUCCAAAUGACUUAUGUUUGUGAUAAAGCCUCAUUUACCCCACAAUAAUAGGAAAGCUGCUCUGAUUUUCUGAAGUUAGAAAUGAAAGAUUAAGUAAGUACAUUUGUUAUAGUUUAAUAUUACACAUUGUAUGAUGAAAACAUUGUCUCCUACACUGCCUCCUAUUAUCUGGAAAAUUAGUAAUACUAAAGUGUUCUUUCAAAACCAGAGACCUAAAUGGCUGGAAGCAAUAAUUGCUAGAGCUCUCCACCAAGCUUUGACUAUAAAUAUUUGGCCAUAUUGUGUGUUAGAAAAUAUAAGACACACUUGCUUUCAUUUUCUGAGCCUGACUCACUGAAUUUUCUUGUCCAGAUUGGUUUUCAUCUGUUUAUUCCUUUAGAGCAUAGAUUAGAGUCCAUUGUGGUUCUCAUCUCUGUUAUGCAUGUUUUUUUAUGAAUAAAAUGCCAGGCACACAGAGCAUACAUAUGCACAUUUUACUACGAGAUAGUAAAAGCUCAAUGUGCUGGGACUGCAUUCCCAAUGUGACCUUAUUUUCCCACUCUUUGCAGUUUUAAAAUGUUACGUUAAUCUGGCGUUCUGGACGGGGAUUUUCUCUUCUUUACAGUGAGUCCCAGCAGUAUAUAGCGGCCAUAGAAUAGCUAAACUUGAAGAGGCUUUUUGGCAAAGAUUUGAAUAUAUGUCCUUUGGCCUUUUCUGGUUCUUGUCUGUAUUUCAUAAUACAAAACUAAUGAGGAUUUCACUUUGGUGAAAUCUGCCUUACUAAAUGAUGCUUGCAAAUAACACAUUCAUUUGUUAGCAUUUGGGAUUCUGAUUAAAUCAUUUUGCUUUAGUAGCUGUUAAAGAUUAUAGUUUGAAAGAAAAAAGUGUUUUGGCAUUGAGUACUUUGAGACCCCUGUACAGUGUACCAAAAUCUAUGCAAAUUGUUACGAGGCCUUUUAAUUACAGGUGAACCCCAGCACUUAUUAUCAUCUGAUGCACAGAUUAUGCACAUGUCAUAUAUUGGUAAUAAAAUAUCAAAGUUAGACUGACACUCUUAAAGUGCUUAACACUGUUUUAUUGGCUUACUAGCCCUAACUGGAUUCAUUGCAUCCAUUUUUUUCAUUCUGCCACUUAAAACAUUUGCCACGUUGUUUUAUUCAUGCUUUUAUCACAGCUUUGUCUGUAACUACAUUGACUUGAUUACUCAUAUUCUAUGGCAAUUCCUGACAUUUGGCUUAUUUUUCCACUAGCCUCCUUACUUUUAAAAACCACUCCAUCUCAUUUUUCAACAACCUCUGAUUAUCUCAAAGUUACCUCGGAUUAUCCUGACACGUCCUUCGGCUUCUGAGGAUAUUGACUCAGUAUUUCAAGACUGAGGUGACUCUGAGACAGAAGACGGAGCCAGUGGUGAUGUGCUCCCUUAUUCAGACUCUUUGAAUAAUGCUUUUUACUCAGCUAUGGACUCUGCUAGAAAGACACUUUAAUAUUUUUGCCAUUUAUAUUUUUCUGUUGUUGAAAAAUAAUAGAAACCAGUGCCUUAGUUGGUUUAACAAUUCAACAAAGUUGUUUUCAAAAGAAGAAAGAAAAUGUAACUCCAUUUAGGUUGUCUUUCAUUUGCAAACACUAACUGAAACUUGAGUUAGGGAUUGUAUAACUUGGAAACAGUAUUAAUAAAAUGAAGUCAUUGUCAUAUUAAAAAUGUCCUAAUGUUCACUUUAAGUGUAUUUUUAAAAACCUCACAGGCAAUGGUGUGAAAGAAACCAAGGAGAUGUUUACAUUCAUUAGUUCCACUGGAAAAAACUGGUUAAUGUAAUUGUAUAGAUUUUUCCCUUCUUGUUUUGUGUGCUGUAUAACCCAGUCUUUGCUUUAUGUACAAAUACCCUGGUUUCUAAAUGCUACUUAUUUUCUUCAGAAAUAAAGUAUGCUUUCAAUUUAGUGAGUAA
rnacentral:lncRNA from 10 species